CAGGCUUAACACAUGCAAGUCGAGGGGCAGCAUGGUCUUAGCUUGCUAAGGCCGAUGGCGACCGGCGCACGGGUGAGUAACACGUAUCCAACCUGCCGUCUACUCUUGGACAGCCUUCUGAAAGGAAGAUUAAUACAAGAUGGCAUCAUGAGUCCGCAUGUUCACAUGAUUAAAGGUAUUCCGGUAGACGAUGGGGAUGCGUUCCAUUAGAUAGUAGGCGGGGUAACGGCCCACCUAGUCUUCGAUGGAUAGGGGUUCUGAGAGGAAGGUCCCCCACAUUGGAACUGAGACACGGUCCAAACUCCUACGGGAGGCAGCAGUGAGGAAUAUUGGUCAAUGGGCGAGAGCCUGAACCAGCCAAGUAGCGUGAAGGAUGACUGCCCUAUGGGUUGUAAACUUCUUUUAUAAAGGAAUAAAGUCGGGUAUGCAUACCCGUUUGCAUGUACUUUAUGAACAAGGAUCGGCUAACUCCGUGCCAGCGGCCGCGGUAAUACGGAGGAUCCGAGCGUUAUCCGGAUUUAUUGGGUUUAAAGGGAGCGUAGAUGGAUGUUUAAGUCAGUUGUGAAAGUUUGCGGCUCAACCGUAAAAUUGCAGUUGAUACUGGAUAUCUUGAGUGCAGUUGAGGCAGGCGGAAUUCGUGGUGUAGCGGUGAAAUGCUUAGAUAUCACGAAGAACUCCGAUUGCGAAGGCAGCCUGCUAAGCUGCAACUGACAUUGAGGCUCGAAAGUGUGGGUAUCAAACAGGAUUAGAUACCCUGGUAGUCCACACGGUAAACGAUGAAUACUCGCUGUUUGCGAUAUACGGCAAGCGGCCAAGCGAAAGCGUUAAGUAUUCCACCUGGGGAGUACGCCGGCAACGGUGAAACUCAAAGGAAUUGACGGGGGCCCGCACAAGCGGAGGAACAUGUGGUUUAAUUCGAUGAUACGCGAGGAACCUUACCCGGGCUUAAAUUGCAGAUGAAUUACGGUGAAAGCCGUAAGCCGCAAGGCAUCUGUGAAGGUGCUGCAUGGUUGUCGUCAGCUCGUGCCGUGAGGUGUCGGCUUAAGUGCCAUAACGAGCGCAACCCUUGUUGUCAGUUACUAACAGGUUCCGCUGAGGACUCUGACAAGACUGCCAUCGUAAGAUGUGAGGAAGGUGGGGAUGACGUCAAAUCAGCACGGCCCUUACGUCCGGGGCUACACACGUGUUACAAUGGGGGGUACAGAGGGCCGCUACCACGCGAGUGGAUGCCAAUCCCCAAAACCUCUCUCAGUUCGGACUGGAGUCUGCAACCCGACUCCACGAAGCUGGAUUCGCUAGUAAUCGCGCAUCAGCCACGGCGCGGUGAAUACGUUCCCGGGCCUUGUACACACCGCCCGUCAAGCCAUGGGAGCCGGGGGUACCUGAAGUGCGUAACCGCGAGGAGCGCCCUAGGGUAAAACUGGUGACUGGGG
rnacentral:rRNA from 1 species